rnacentral:lncRNA from 1 species
AUACACGAAUCUCAUUCAUUACAUGAUCUCUGCACAUGACAAAACCAAAUAAAGAUAAGUAUAUAUAAAAACGAUAACUAAUAUAAAAAAAAAGAAUAAACCAAAAAAAAAUCAAUUAUUGUGAAGGAAACAGGAAUCAAACAUAUACAGUUUGAUAAUAUAUGAAAAUAAAUUUGAUAAUUGAUCUGCGAUUGCAUUACACUACCAUCCCAC